rnacentral:rRNA from 1 species
CCUACGGGAGGCAGCAGUCGAGAAUCUUGGGCAAUGCACGAAAGUGUGACCCAGCGACGCCGCGUGAAGGAUGAAGGCGCUCAGCGUUGUAAACUUCUUUUCGGGGAGAAGAAUAAUGACGGUAUCCCCGGAAUAAGCCACGGCUAACUACGUGCCAGCAGCCGCGGUAAUACGUAGGUGGCAAGCGUUGUCCGGAUUUACUGGGCGUAAAGGGCGGGCAGGCGGAUUGUUAAGUAGGAAGUGAAAGGUUGGAGCUCAACUCUAACACUGCUCCCUAUACUGGCAGUCUUGAGUCCCGGAGAGGAAAGCGGAACGACACGUGUAGCGGUGAAAUGCGUUGAUAUGUGUCGGAACACCAAUUGCGAAGGCAGCUUUCUGGACGGGAACUGACGCUCAUCCGCGAAAGCCAAGGUAGCGAACAGGAUUAGAUACCCCUGUAG